AAUGAACGCUGGCGGCAUGCCUAACACAUGCAAGUCGAACGGUAGCACAGAGAGCUUGCUCUCGGGUGACGAGUGGCGGACGGGUGAGUAACGUCUGGGAAACUGCCCGAUGGAGGGGGAUAACUACUGGAAACGGUAGCUAAUACCGCAUAACGUCGCAAGACCAAAGUGGGGGACCUUCGGGCCUCACACCAUCGGAUGUGCCCAAAUGGGAUUAGCUAGUAGGUGGGGUAAUGGCUCACCUAGGCGACGUUCCCUAGCUGGUCUGAGAGGAUGAACAGCCACACUGGAACGACGACACGGGCCAGAGUCGUACGGGAGUCAGCAGUGGGGAAUAUUGCACAAGGGGCGCAAGCCUGAUGCAGCCAUGCCGCGUGUAUGAAGAAGGCCUUCGGGUUGUAAAGUACUUUCAGCGGGGAGGAAGGCGGUGAAGUUAAUAGCUUCACCGAUUGACGUUACCCGCAGAAGAAGCACCGGCUAACUCCGUGCCAGCCGCCGCCGUAA
rnacentral:rRNA from 1 species